GGAGAAUCACUCGAACCCGAGAGGCAGAGGUUGUGGUGAGCUGAGAUUGUGCCAUUGCACUCCAGUCUGGGCAACAAGAGUGAAACUCUGUCUCAAAAAAAAAAAAAAAAAAAAAAAGCCCUAGGAAGAUUUCUUCAAACAGAUGAAGCUAAUGAUAUCCCCAGUGUGUUUGAAUAUAUUGAGAGAUCACACAAUAGGGACACUGUUUAGGGUUGAAUUAAUAGCAAGCAAAUGGGAUGCUAAGGAAAUAUAAAGAAUAAAAGUUCAAAGGGAAAACAAAAUGUUAUUCAAGAAAGUCAAAACAUCCAUCGUAACUUUUUUUUUUUUUGAGACAGAGUCUCGCUCUGUCACCCAGGUUGGAGUGCAGUGGCGUGAUCUCAGCUCACUGCAAGCUCCGCCUCCCAGGCUCACGCCAUUCUCCUGCCUCAGCCUCCCGAGUAGCUGGUACUACAGGUGGCUGCCACCACGCCCGGCUAAUUUUUUGUAAUUUUAGUACAGAUGGGGUUUCACCGUGUUAGCCAGGAUGGUCUCGAUCUCCUGACCUUGUGAUCUGCCUGCCUCAGGCUCCCAAAGUGCUGGGAUUACAGGCGUGAGCCACCGCGCCUGGCUCGUACACUGUUUUAUAUACCACUUGCAGUAUCAUGAUUGUAUAAAUACUAAAUAUCUAUUGAUCUAUCCAAAACUACAACAUAAGUAUUUUUGGAAUAUGGAGGAGUGGGUGCUGAGUAUGCAUGGGAGAAGGGAGGCUGAGGUGAAGGUGGGAGAGAAGGAGACAGUGAAAUAUUCAUCUUCCAAAUUGGAAACUCAAAUAGAUAAUGCCUAAACAUGAAAUAUCAAUAGAAAUGUAAUAUUUAAACAUAUGGUGGUGCUUCUGGGAAAAAGAAAAGAGGAUGGAGAAGACUGUUUGUUUGUAUGUUUGUUUGUUUAAACAAGCAAUAUGGAUGAAAUUACAGGCUAAGCUGCUUUAGCAAAAAGACACCAAAAUACAGAAGCUUAAAUGAGGAGGCUAAACAUAGAGACAUA
rnacentral:lncRNA from 10 species